GGCUCAGUGGUCUAGUGGUAUGAUUCCUGCUUCGGGUCGCACCCUUCCAUCAGUACAUGGGAAUGCAGGAGGCCCCGGGUUCGAAUCCCGGCUGAGCCC
rnacentral:tRNA from 1 species